UACGUAGGUGGCAAGCGUUGUCCGGAUUUACUGGGCGUAAAGAGCGCGCAGGCGGUCGUGCAAGUCGCGUGUGAAAGCCCCCGGCUCAACUGGGGAGGGUCACGCGAUACUGCUCGACUUGAAGGCAGGAGAGGGAAGUGGAAUUCCCGGUGUAGUGGUGAAAUGCGUAGAUAUCGGGAGGAACACCAGUGGCGAAGGCGACUUCCCGGCCUGUUCUUGACGCUGAGGCGCGAAAGCUAGGGUAGCAAACGGG
rnacentral:rRNA from 1 species